UCCACUUCAAAUUUUAAUUACGUCUGGUUCCGCAAUAUCGCAUACCACAAACAAAUAUAUCAUAAAUAACUGAACACAAACCAGCAAUAAAUACCAUCUCACGAUGUUAAAUUGUGUUGUAAUUACAUGUGACUACAGUAAAAUACUUACAGUAUUUACAAGAGAUCUGUCAUGCGGCACAUUUGCUUGAGUUCGUGUGAACUUUGGCAAAUAUACAACCAACAAUAACCAAGCAUGUUGCCACGCAUAUGACCGAGUCACCCGUUAACAACUUGUGUAUUG